CUCACCUGGUUCGUCAGUGCUUCUUCUUGUGUUCCUGGACGAACUUAGAGUUCUUGAGAUCCUCCUCGGUGAAGUUGGCCGUCAUCUUCGUGAUGAUGAAUCCGGUGAUGGCGAAACCCGUGAGGAAGGGCCAGUUGCGCUUCCACUCCCGGCGGAAGAAGACCGGCCACGGGUCGAACGUCUUCAUCUCCUCUGCCUCCGGCUUGCUCGAGAUCUCCUACCUCCGCUCCUCCGCCUCCGCCUUCGCUUCUGGUGAGAAAUGGAUGGGAGGUGAAUGGAAUAUGUCCGUCCGCGCCGGCGCCGCCUCCGUGCGAGCGCGAUUGGGUGGUGGGAGGGGGAUGGGCAGGUAG
rnacentral:misc_RNA from 1 species